ACAUGCCAGGAGGGGUUAUCUCUGAGAAAGGAGGACUGGUGAGAAAAGCAAGUCAGAAGUACAUAAGGUUGUUCCGUGACCCACCCCCACACUAAGAAAUCAUAAUUUUGUGGGGAGGAUGGAGCAGAAUGGAGAUCUGAGAGAAUCUGUUUUCAACAGUGCUCUCCAGCAGGAAGAAUAACUGAGCUACUGAGACCUCAGCAAGACAGGAUGGUGUCUAAGGGGAUGAAUCCAGACUCUGGGUUUGCAUCCUGGCUUAGCAACUUCCUAGCUGUGUGCCUUUGGGUAAGUCAUUUAACUACU